CCUACGGGAGGCAGCAGUGGGGAAUAUUGGACAAUGGGGGGAACCCUGAUCCAGCCAUGCCGCGUGUGUGAAGAAGGCCUUUUGGUUGUAAAGCACUUUAAGCGAGGAGGAGGCUACCGAGAUUAAUACUCUUGGAUAGUGGACGUUACUCGCAGAAUAAGCACCGGCUAACUCUGUGC
rnacentral:rRNA from 1 species